GAUGAACGCUGGCGGCGUGCCUAAUACAUGCAAGUCGAGCGAACAGACGAGGAGCUUGCUCCUCUGACGUUAGCGGCGGACGGGUGAGUAACACGUGGAUAACCUACCUAUAAGACUGGGAUAACUUCGGGAAACCGGAGCUAAUACCGGAUAAUAUAUUGAACCGCAUGGUUCAAUAGUGAAAGACGGUUUUGCUGUCACUUAUAGAUGGAUCCGCGCCGCAUUAGCUAGUUGGUAAGGUAACGGCUUACCAAAGCAACGAUGCGUAGCCGACCUGAGAGGGUGAUCGGCCACACUGGAACUGAGACACGGUCCAGACUCCUACGGGAGGCAGCAGUAGGGAAUCUUCCGCAAUGGGCGAAAGCCUGACGGAGCAACGCCGCGUGAGUGAUGAACGUCUUCGGAUCGUAAAACUCUGUUAUUAGGGAAGAACAAAUGUGUAAGUAACUAUGCACGUCUUGACGGUACCUAAUCAGAAAGCCACGGCUAACUACGUG
rnacentral:rRNA from 1 species